UACGAAGGGGGGCUAGCGUUGCUCGGAAUCACUGGGCGUAAAGGGCGCGUAGGCGGACUCUUAAGUCGGGGGUGAAAGCCCAGGGCUCAACCCUGGAAUUGCCUUCGAUACUGAGAGUCUUGAGUUCGGAAGAGGUUGGUGGAACUGCGAGUGUAGAGGUGAAAUUCGUAGAUAUUCGCAAGAACACCAGUGGCGAAGGCGGCCAACUGGUCCGAUACUGACGCUGAGGCGCGAA
rnacentral:rRNA from 1 species